GACGUAGGGCGCGAGCGUUGUCCGGAUUUAUUGGGCGUAAAGAGCUCGUAGGCGGCUCGUUGCGUCGGCUGUGAAAACCCGCAGCUCAACUGUGGGCUUGCAGCCGAUACGGGCGGGCUGGGAUUCGGUAGGGGAGACUGGAAUUCCUGGUGUAGCGGUGAAAUGCGCAGAUAUCAGGAGGAACACCGGUGGCGAAGGCGAGUCCCUGGACAACACCUGACACUGAGGCACGAAAGCUAGGGGAGCAAACAGG
rnacentral:rRNA from 1 species